rnacentral:rRNA from 1 species
CCUACGGGAGGCAGCAGUAGGGAAUCUUUCACAAUGGGCGAAAGCCUGAUGGAGCAACGCCGCGUGCAUGAUGAAGGCCUUCGGGUUGUAAACUGCUUUUAUAAGCGCGCAAUAUGAUGAUAACUUAUGACUAAGGAUCGGCGAACUACGUGCCAGCAGCCGCGGUCAUACGUAGGAUCCGAGCAUUAUCCGGAGUGACUGGGUGUAGAGAGUUGCGUAGGUGGCAUAAUAAGUAGCUAGGGAAAUCUGGUGGCUCAACCAUUCAGACUAUUAGCUAAACUGUUAAGCUCGAGACCGUUAGGGGUAACUGGAAUUUCUAGUGUAGGAGUGAAAGCCGUAGAGAUUAGAAGGAACACCAAUAGCGUAGGCAGGUUGCUGGGACAGUUCUGACACUAAGGUACGAAAGCGUAGGGAGCAAACGGGAUUAGAUACCCGGGUAGUC